GGGUGGGUUGAGCUGCUGGUCUAUGGAUCCCACACUCCUAUCCCAUUAAAGCAAGUAAUUCUGGAGUUAAUAUAAAGAAAAGGACAGGGAAAUGAAGAAGACGCAAAGAAGAAAUUUUUGGGAUGGGCUUGUGGCUUGCAUAUGCCAGGAGCUUCACUUGCCC
rnacentral:pre_miRNA from 1 species